GCCUUCUUAGCUUAGAUGGUAGAGCGUUCGCUUUGUAAGCGAAAGGUCAUUGGUUCGAUUCCGAUAGGAAGGCU